rnacentral:snRNA from 1 species
GCUGGCUUUGGCAGCAGACACUAAAACUGGAAUAAUAAAGGGAGGAUUUGCAUGGCCCCAAUGCAAGAUGACACCCACUGUACAGGGUCCCCUUUAAAAACU